rnacentral:rRNA from 1 species
UACAGAGGGUGCAAGCGUUGUUCGGAAUUACUGGGCGUAAAGCGCGUGUAGGCGGUUUGAUAAGUCAGACGUGAAAUCCCUCAGCUUAACUGAGGAAUUGCAUCUGAUACUGUCAGACUUGAGUAUCGGAGGGGAUGGUGGAAUUCCCUGGUGUAGAGGUGAAAAUUCGUAGAUAUCAGGAGGAACACCUGUGGCGAAGGCGGCCAUCUGGAAGAUUACUGACGCUGAGACGCGAAAGCAUGGGGAGCAAACAGG